rnacentral:rRNA from 1 species
AUUGAACGCUGGCGGCAGGCCUAACACAUGCAAGUCGAACGCGUGGCGGACGGGUGAGUAAUGCCUGGGAAACUUCCUGAUGGAGGGGGAUCACUACUGGAAACGGUCACUAAUUCCGCAUACUAUCGGCUAUGCCCCGAUGGGAUUGUCUUGUUGGUGGGGUAACGGCCUACCAAGGCGCAGAUCCCUAGAUGGUCUGAGAGGAUGGCCAGCCACUCUGGAACUGAGACACGGGCCAGACUCCGACGGGAGGCAGCAGUGGGGAAUAUUGCACAAUGGGCGAAAGCCUGAUGCAGCCAUGCCGCGUGUAUGAAAAAGGCCUUCGGGUUGUAAAGUACUUUCAGUUGGGAGGCGUUACCCGCAGAAGAAGCACCGGCUAACUCCGUGCCAGCAGCCGCGGUAAUUC